AGAUAAUCAUUCAGGUCUUCGUGAGCUAAGGCCAAACAAACAAAAAACACUUGCUUUGAUGGACUGAAUACUGUUAUUAGAAGUAAAUAUGGAAAAUGAACCAGACCAUGAAAAUGUGGAACAGAGCCUCUGUGCCAAGACGAGCGAAGAAGAGCUGAAUAAGUCUUUCAAUCUAGAAGCUUCACUUUCAAAAUUCUCUUACAUAGAUAUGGACAAGGAACUGGAGUUCAAAAAUGAUCUGGGUCUCACUCUGUUGUCCAGGUUGGAGUACAGUGGUGCAAACAUGGCUCACUGAAGCUUCAACCUCCUGGGCUCAAGUGAUCCUCCUACCUCAGCCUCCCAAGUAGCUGGGACCACAGAUUGAUGACAAGGAGUUUGAUAUUCCUCAAGUUGAUACUCCUCCAACACUGGAAAGCAUACUAAAUGAGACUGAUGAUGAAGAUGAGUCUUUUAUUCUUGAGGAUCCUACAUUGUUAAACAUUGAUACUAUUGAUUCUCACUCCUAUGAUACUUCAUCUGUGGCAAGCUCAGAUAGUGGUGACAGGACCAACUUAAAAAGGAAGAAGAAAUUACCUGAUUCUUUUUCACUUCAUGGAUCAGUUAUGCGCCAUUCACUUUUGAAGGGAAUUUCUGCCCAGAUAGUGUCUGCAGCU
rnacentral:lncRNA from 10 species